GAUGAACGCUGGCGGCAUGCCUAACACAUGCAAGUCGAUCGGUAAGGCUCUUCGGAGUACACGAGAGGCGGACGGCUGAGUAACGCGUAGGAACACACCCUGCAGUGAGGGAUAAGACACCGAAAGGUGUUCUAAUACCGCAUACGGUCUUCGGAUUAAAGCAUUUAUGCGCUGAAGGAGUGGCCUGCGUCAUAUUAGAUAGUUGGUGAGGUAAUGGCUCACCAAGUCGAUGAUGUGUAGCUGGUCUGAGAGGAUGAUCAGCCAGACUGGAACUGAGACACGGUCCAGAAUCCUACGGGAGGCAGCAGUGAGGAAUAUUUCACAAUGAGCGAAAGCUUGAUGGAGCAAUGCCGGGUGCAGGAUGAAGGCCCUCGGGUUGUAAACUGCUUUUAUAAGAGAAGAUUAUGACGGUAACUUAUGAAUAAGGGACGGCUAACUACGUG
rnacentral:rRNA from 1 species